UACAGAGGUCUCAAGCGUUGUUCGGAAUCACUGGGCGUAAAGGGUGCGUAGGCUGCAUGGUAAGUCAGGUGCGAAAGCCCGGAGCUCAACUCCGGAACUGCACCCGAUACUGCCGUGCUUGAGGACUGGAGAGGAGUCUGGAAUUCACAGUGGAGCAGUGAAAUGCGUAGAUAUUGUGAGGAACACUAGUGGCGAAGGCGAGACUCUGGACAGUUCCUGACGCUGAGGCACGAAGGCCAGGGGAGCAAACGGG
rnacentral:rRNA from 1 species